rnacentral:rRNA from 1 species
AUUGAACGCUGGCGGCACGCCUAACACAUGCAAGUCGAGCGGCAGCAUGCUUAGUAGCAAUACUAAGUGAUGGCGAGCGGCGGACGGGUGAGGAACACGUAGGAACCUGCCCAAGAGAGGGGGAUAACUAAGGGAAACUUUAGCUAAUACCGCAUAAUCUCUGAGGAGAAAAGCUGCCCGUAAGGGUAGCGCUUUUGGAGGGGCCUGCGUCCGAUUAGCUAGUUGGUGAGGUAAAAGCUCACCAAGGCGAUGAUCGGUAACUGGUCUGGGAGGACGACCAGUCACACUGGGACUGAGACACGGCCCAGACUCCUACGGGAGGCAGCAGUGGGGAAUCUUGGACAAUGGGGGCAACCCUGAUCCAGCGAUGCCGCGUGGGUGAAGAAGGCCUUCGGGUUGUAAAGCCCUUUAGGCUGGGAAGAAGUGUGCGGGAUGAAUAAUCCUGUACAUUGACGGUACCAGCAGAAUAAGCACCGGCAAACUCUGUGCCAGCCGCCGCAGUAA